UAUUAAAGAUUUCAGCAGAUUGUACCGUUAAAAAUAGGUGAGACUGGCAGAAUAAUCAAGUAGUGACAUAUGGUGUGCGACGUGUACCUCAUUAUAACGUAUAAAGAUAAAUUUUUAAUAGUAAAAAUGGAUAAAUUUUUAGCC
rnacentral:pre_miRNA from 1 species